rnacentral:tRNA from 1 species
GCCUGGGUGGCUCAGUUGGUUAAGCAUCUGACUUCGGCUCAGGUCAUGAUCUCGUGGUUCAUGGGUUCGAGCCCUGUACCCGGCU